GUAAAAAUAGUUUAAAAAAAACAAUGAUUUGUGGCAUCAUAGAUUCACCAGUGAUUUUUACC
rnacentral:tRNA from 1 species